CUUGAACUCGAUUUUUGGUAGUUAUUGUAAUCGGAUAUUGUUCUUUAAAUGAUUAUCCUUUGAAACUAAAAAUCAGCUAUCCGGAAUAUAUCCAGCAUCAAGAAAAUCAUCGAAGGGGUAAGUGUAUCAGAAAAUUACUUCUGAAGGUUUUGAACCCCGUGAAUAACCAUCUGGUGCCG